CCUACGGGUGGCAGCAGUGGGGAAUAUUGCACAAUGGGGGCAAGCCUGAUGCAGCAACGCCGCGUGGGUGAAGGAGCGUCUCGGCGCGUAAAGCCCUGUCAGCGGGGAAGAAGAAAGACGGUACCCGAACAAGAAGCGCCGGCUAACUACGAGCCAGCAGCCGCGGUAAUACGUAGGGGGCGAGCGUGAUCCGGAAUUACUGGGUGUAAGGGGAGAGGAGACGGCGAGGUAAGCCUGAAGUGGAAGCCCGCGGCCCAACCGCGGAACUGCCUUGGGAACUGUUUUGCUGGAGUAUGGGAGGGGUAAGCGGAAUUCCUGGUGUAGCAGUGAAAUGCGUAGAUAUGAGGAGGAACACCGGUGGCGAAGGCGGCUUACUGGAACAUAACUGACGUUGAGGCUCGAAAGCGUGGGGAGCGAACAGGAUUAGAUACCCCUGUAGUC
rnacentral:rRNA from 1 species